CACCGCCUGGGGAGUACGACCGCAAGGUUAAAACUCAAAUGAAUUGACGGGGACCCGCACAAGUAGUGGAGCAUGUGGUUUAAUUCGAAGAUACGCGCAGAACCUUACCAACACUUGACAUGUUCGUCGCGACCUUAAGAGAUUAAGGUUUUCGGUUCGGCCGGACGAAACACAGGUGCUGCAUGGCUGUCGUCAGCUCGUGUCGUGAGAUGUUGGGUUAAGUCCCGCAACGAGCGCAACCCUCACUUUUAGUUGCCAUCAUUUAGUUGGGCACUCUGAAAGAACUGCCAGUGAUAAGCUGGAGGAAGGUGGGGAUGACGUCAAGUCCUCAUGGCCCUUACGUGUUGGGCUACACACGUGCUACAAUGGCAUCUACAAUAGGAAGCAAAAUGGCGACAUUGAGCAAAUCCUAAAAAGAUGCCUCAGUUCGGAUUGUACUCUGCAACUCGAGUACAUGAAGCUGGAAUUACUAGUAAUCGCGGAUCAGCGCGCCGCGGUGAAUACGUUCCCGGGUCUUGUACACACCGCCCGUCACACCAUGGGAGUUGGUUCUACCUUAAGGCAAGGUUUAAAACCCUUGACUACGGUAUAGCCAGCGACUGGGGUGAGGUCGUAACAAGGUAGCCGUAGGGGAACCUGCGGCUGGAUUACCUCCUUUCUAAGGAUGAUUAAGGAUUAUUUCUUAAUCUAAAUAAUAUAACAGGUUAAUGUUGACCGUCCUCAUUUCUCUUUUUAAAAUUGUGUUUCUCCUUUUUGCAUAAAGGGGCCGGUAGCUCAGUUGGUUAGAGCACACCCUUGAUAAGGGUGGGGUCGAAAGUUCGAGUCUUUCUCGGCCCACCAUAAACUGGGGGAUUAGCUCAGCUGGGAGAGCGCCUGAUUUGCAUUCAGGAGGUCAGCGGUUCGAUCCCGCUAUCCUCCACCAAGAAGCACUUAGUUAUUUUAUUUGUGAAUAUUUUAUAAUUAUUAUCAAUAUCUAUAUCCGAUUGUUCUAAGAUCUGAACAAUCAAUCAAUAUUCGAAUAGAUGAAUAUUUUUAAAAAAAAUUUGAUUCAACAUAGAAAUUUUUUUCUG
rnacentral:sRNA from 1 species